rnacentral:lncRNA from 1 species
CGUUCGAUUUCCAUAAUUCUUUCAAGGUACGAUAUUCUUCUCUUUUAUAUUUUCUUCACCGAUUUUUUCCCGUUUCUUAUUGCUUUACUUUAACUAUUCCUCUGUGUGCUGUGUAUUCUCUCAUCCUUGUUGAUUUGGUUCAGAUCUGUUAGUUUCGAUUUGAUCUAUCUGAUACUGAUACAUGAAAAUUCAAAGAAUUAUUUGUUUCUUUAAUACAUGAAAAGUCAAUUGUUUCUAAUGGUUCCUUUGGUCGAAGCCUUGUAUGCCACUUCCUGCAUCUCCGCCAGUGCCGCCCUGGGUUAUUCCCGGCGUUCAACCAAAGGUCAUUUUUGAAUUGUUUCUGGCUUUUUUUAUUUUCCUUCAGUUUUCCCUUUCCCUCUUAUCAUUGAAUCUUUUCCCCAUUAUUGCUUGUUCUGCACGAGAUCCCAAUUUAUCUUUUGUGGGGUUUUAGUAUUUAAUAUUUUACUUUACUUUAAGUGAUCACUUUUUUUGCUAUGUUUUCUGAUCUCGUCUUCUUUGGUGUCGCCCACCAUCAAACUUGUUGGCAAAACUCUUAACUCUCAGAUAUGAGAUUUUCGAAAAAAUUUAAUAAGAGAAAGGAUUUCAGUUUGCUCUCCUAUUUCCGUUCUUUGGCAUCCACUUCUCCAGAGUUUAAAAGGGGUGUUGGCUGUUAGAGUUACUGAUUUUCUUGUUGAAGCUGCCUAAAAUCUAUCUGGAUUUGGAUUUCUGCCCCUAUUUUGGAACUUAUUUUUUUUUGUUUCAGCCAAAUCUGAAACCUCAAAAACCUUAAUUCACUGCCCGCAAAACGAUUCUCCAAUAAGUUUUUUUUUGAAUUCUCGCUUUUCGAUGGCGAUUUUCUGGCGACCCCUGCUCUUUUCUUCCUAUUCUCUCUUCUGCUUUUUGUGGGUGUGUGUGGGUGUGUUUUAUUUUCUUGGACAGAUGCCUUAUUUUUCCGGCGAGGAUUUCCGGCAAACUACAGUACUUCCGGCGACUCCCGUUCAGACUUUUGGUAGGACGCAACAGAACUACACGUUCCGAUAAGCUUCAGGAAAACUUACCCCAGGUACCCAUCGCGGCGGCGAGGCCAGUUCGCGGCGUUUGGGAGUGAAGAGCUAAGCAACACCGGCCGGGACNNNN